GCCUGGGUGGCUCAGUUGGUUGAGCUUCUGACUUCAGCUCAGGUCAUGAUCUCAGUUUGUGGGUUCGGGCCCCACGUUGGGCU
rnacentral:tRNA from 1 species